UACGAAGGGGGCAAGCGUUGUUCGGAAUUAUUGGGCGUAAAGGGCGCGUAGGCGGCUCGUUAAGUCGGCUGUGAAAGCCCGGGGCUCAACCCCGGAGGGUCGGCCGAUACUGGCGGGCUAGAGUACGGAAGAGGUAGCUGGAAUUCCCGGUGUAGCGGUGAAAUGCGUAGAUAUCCGGAGGAACACCGGUGGCGAAGGCGGCUUCCUGGACCGACACUGACGCUGAGGCGCGAAAGCUAGGGGAGCAAACGGG
rnacentral:rRNA from 1 species